rnacentral:rRNA from 1 species
UGGCGGACGGGUGAGUAACGCGUGGGUAACCUGCCUUACACAGGGGGAUAACACUUAGAAAUAGGUGCUAAAACCGCAUAAGCGCACAGCUUCGCAUGAAGCGGUGUGAAAAACUCCGGUGGUGUAAGAUGGACCCGCGUCUGAUUAGCUUGUUGGCGGGGUAACGGCCCACCAAGGCGACGAUCAGUAGCCGGCCUGAGAGGGCGGACGGCCACACUGGGACUGAGACACGGCCCAGACUCCUACGGAAGGCAGCAG